AGCAAUAAGUCAUAUCACCCUGCUGCACAAGAGUGGUUACACACUGAAGCCAAGCAAGGCUGAACCUGAUCAGUACCUGAAUGGGAGACCACAUGGGAAAACUAGGUUGCUGUUGGAA
ensembl:rRNA 5S_rRNA 5S ribosomal RNA